UUCGGAGUUGCAUACGAAUUGCGAUAAAUUUGCAACGAUACAGAGAAGAUUAGCAUGGCCCCUACAUAAGGAUAGCACCAUGAGUCAGUCGAGGUUGGG
rnacentral:snRNA from 1 species